GAUGCGUCAACUUCCGGUGUAGUUUUAUACCAUUUUAUACCUUAAAUGACGUCAUUUCCGCAAUUAUUUAAUAGGAACUGAUUUGACUUACUUCCGUUUGCCGCCAUUUUAGUCACCUGGGGGCGAGCUUGCUCGGAGUUCUUCAUAGCGUCUUUAACUUCCAAACUAGCAACAUCGUAAGCAGAAACUCUGCUCAGAUUUUUACUGAAAUAAUUUAUUUCUCAACGUUCUUAUACUAAGUUUAAAAUUAAAAAGUGUAAUUGACCGCGCGUGUGUGACCGCGAACGACAUGUACGUGAUGGUGGUUGGCGCCAAAGGGGACGAGUGUCUUCCGGACGACGAGCAGGUGGACCCAGAGCGUCGGAUACCGGAGAAACUCGGACCCCGGCGAGAUUCAAAACGGAUGAAACGAGCAAAUACAUAAGCCUCAAAAUAACUCCCUUCGAUUUAGAACAAAAAGCCAAGGAUUCCAAAUCAGUCCCUUCAGGUCCCCUUGACGACCAAUAAGUCAAAUGACCAUCCACUUAGCAAAUUCUAUGGAAGCUGCCUUUGAGCGUACCUAUCUUGGGCAUUGGCAGGCGUCAUCAUUCUGCGGAGGUCAACCUGUUACCUGACAAUGGUUCCAGGGAUGCGUCUGCCAUUCACUUCCAAGCCGGUGCUUGCCCCUGCACCUGCAACGCCGUGAUUUAUUCAGCGUCUUAACACUCUUGACUGUCUAGCGCUGACCAAAUAAGAAUAGCAAAGUCAAGUGACUUUCCACUCAGCAAAUUCUACGGAGGCUGCCUUUGAGCGUAUCUUAGGCAGUGGCAGGCGUCAUCAGACUGCGGAGGUCAACCUGUUACCUGACAAUGGUUCCAGGGAUGCGUCUGCCAUUCACCUCCAAGCCGGUGCUUGUCCCUUCAACGCCGUGCUUUAUUCAGCGUUUUAACACUCUUGACUGUCUAACGCUGACCAAAUAAACCGAAAUCCUGUUAAAA